UCCGAAUUGGUGUAGUGGCUAACAUUUGACGCUCUCAACAAGAAAUUGUGUGUGAACCGUCAAGCCCGGGGUUCGAUUCCCCGAUUCGGAG
rnacentral:tRNA from 1 species